rnacentral:misc_RNA from 1 species
UACGGGAGGCAGCAGUGGGGAAUUUUGGACAAUGGGGAAACCCUGAUCCAGCCAUCCCGCGUGUGCGAUAAGAGAAUAUUUCAGUUGUAAAAGCACUUUUGGCAGGAAAGAAACAGCGCAGGAUAUUACCCGUGCAACAAACUGAUACCCUGCAAACUAAAACACUGACUAACACGUACAGCAACCGCGGUAAUACGUAGGGUGCAAGCGUUAAUCGGAAUUGGGCGUAAAGCGUGCGCAGGCGGUUCGGAAGAAGAUGUGAAAUCCCAGAGCUUAACUUUGGAACUGCAUUUUUAACUACCGAGCUAGAGUGUGUCAGGGAGGUGGAAUUCCCGUGCUGAAGCUAAAUCCAUUAGAUAUGCGGAGGGAACUUGCACCGAUGGCGAAAGGCAGCCUCCUGGAUAACACUGACGCUCAUGCACGAAAGCGUGGGAGCUAAACAGGAUUAGAUACCCUGUAGU